rnacentral:rRNA from 1 species
CAGUAGCCGCGGGAAUACAGAGGGUGCGAGCGUUAAUCGGAUUUACUGGGCGUAAAGCGUGCGUAGGCGGCUUCUUAAGUCGGAUGUGAAAUCCCUGAGCUUAACUUAGGAAUUGCAUUCGAUACUGGGAAGCUAGAGUAUGGGAGAGGAUGGUAGAAUUCCAGGUGUAGCGGUAAAAUGCGUAGAGAUCUGGAGGAAUACCGAUGGCGAAGGCAGCCAUCUGGCCUAAUACUGACGCUGAGGUACGAAAGCAUGGGGAGCAAACAGGAUUAGAGACCCCGGUAGUCCCUGUCUCUUAUAA